CUCAGUGUGGAAAUUAACUAUUAGGGUCUAGAGCACCAGGGUUUGUGCAGCCACAUACCAGAGCCCUGAUGCAGCUUAGCGGAAGCCAGGAGCCAGAUGAUAUGCUGAUGUGUAUCCAGUACUAGAAACAAGGUAAGACUAAAACAGACACCAAAGAAGAUAACAAGACAAGACUAGAAGAACCCAGAACUGGAGCAGGACAGAAAGCAGAACCCAGAACAUGUACACAAUACAUGAGGGAAACAUGAACAGGACAUGGACAGGGCAG